rnacentral:rRNA from 1 species
GGAAUAUUGGACAAUGGGGGCAACCCUGAUCCAGCAAGGCCGCGUGUGUGAAGAAGGCCUGCGGGUUGUAAAGCACUUUCAGUUGUGAGGAAGGCAUUUAGGUUAAUAGUCUAGGUACGUGACGUUAGCGAAAGAAGAAGCACCGGAUAACUCUGUGCCAGCAGCCGCGGUAAUACAGAGGGUGCGAGCGUUAAUCGGAAUUACUGGGCGUAAAGCGUGCGUAGGUGGGUAAUUAAGUCAGGUGUGAAAUCCCAGGGCUCAACCUUGGAAUUGCAUUUGAAACUGGGGACCUAGAGUUCAGGAGAGGAAAGUGGAAUUUCCGGUGUAGCGGUGAAAUGCGUAGAUAUCGGAAGGAACACCAGAGGCGAAGGCGACUUUCUGGACUGAUACUGACACUGAGGCACGAAAGCGUGGGGAGCGAAC